GGCCCCAUCGACUAGUGGUUAGGUCACCAGCCUUUCAAGCUGGCAGCACGGGUUCAAGUCCCGUUGGGGUCA
rnacentral:tRNA from 1 species